rnacentral:lncRNA from 1 species
AAUAUGAAUUUAUCUAGGAACAGACAGCCUUGGACAGAAUACACAGUGACUAGAACAUUGGUUAGUGCCCAAUAUAUCCUGAAUAGAUAGAAACCAAAGUGAACAGAAUCUGACAUAAGAAACUAAAAGGCAUUGUUUUCAGAAUGGUGGGAAGAGAUUCAGAAGAGUAUGCUGACAGAGAAACCAAGGCAAUAUAGUAAAGUUUAAAGAAAGAAGUAUUUAGGAAAGUCAGACACCAUGGACAAUUUAUGUAAAAAGGAUUUGGCAAUUGACAAGGCACAUUGUAGGUUAUGCUCCUGGGUUAGCCUAGAACAGACUGUCCAUAGUUGAACAACAUAUCAACCUUCUCUUUGGUACCUUGACACCUCAUACAUCACACAUGGCCUUCUACCUUAGCUUUCAGCAUUGUGGCUCAUGGUGUGACCAUUGCCUGGACUAUAACUAAAAUCACCAUUCUCUACCUAGAAGUCUCAGCAGCACUUAGGGGUUUCUUCUCAUUCAAGAUAGAAUGGAUCAAAUUUUGUCUAAGUCAGAUGUGG